CACGUAGGGCGCAAGCGUUGUUCGGAAUUACUGGGCGUAAAGGGCUCGUAGGCGGCCAACUAAGUCAGACGUGAAAUCCCCAGGCUCAACCUGGGAACUGCGUCUGAUACUGGAUGGCUUGAAUCCGGGAGAGGUGAGUGGAAUUCCCAGUGUAGCGGUGAAAUGCGUAGAUAUUGGGAGGAACACCAGUGGCGAAGGCGGCUCACUGGACCGGAACUGACGCUGAGGCGCGAAAGCGUGGGGAGCAAACGGG
rnacentral:rRNA from 1 species